rnacentral:rRNA from 1 species
UAGUAAAAUUUUUAAGGUAAAUUCUGCCCUAUGAUUAUUUAAAUGGCUGCAGUAUUCUGACUGUGCAAAGGUAGCAUAAUAAUUAGUCUUUUAAUUGAAGGCUGGUAUGAAUGAGUAGAUGGGGGAUUUAUUUUAUUAUUUUUAAUUUUUGAAUUUGAUUUUUAGGUAAGAAAGCCUAAUUUUUUUUUUGGGACGAUAAGACCCUAUAGAACUUUAAUUUUAUUAAUUUUUAUUUUGUUUUAGUUUAUUAAUUUUUUAAUUUCAUUAUUAUUUUUUCUGGGGCGGAGAAUAAAUUUGACUUUAUUUUUUUAUUUCAUUAUUUAUAUGUAAUUUUGAUCCGAUUACGAUUAUAAGAUAAAGUUACCUUAGGGAUAACAGCGUUAUUUUAAUGGGGAGUUCAUAUCUAUAUUAAAGUUUGCGACCUCGAUGUUGAAUUAAGAUUAGAGUGAGGGGUAG